AAGAAAGUGGCAGAUAGGUUAUGUGAGUGGCUUGAAACCAUUCUAAGGGGGUUCGAGUCCCUCCUUUCUCG
rnacentral:tRNA from 1 species